AGAGUUUGAUCAUGGCUCAGAUUGAACGCUGGCGGCAGGCCUAACACAUGCAAGUCGAACAGUAACAGGAAGAAGCUUGCUUCUUUGCUGACGAGUGGCGGACGGGUGAGUAAUGUCUGGGAAACUGCCUGAUGGAGGGGGAUAACUACUGGAAACGGUAGCUAAUACCGCAUAACGUCGCAAGACCAAAGAGGGGGACCUUCGGGCCUCUUGCCAUCGGAUGUGCCCAGAUGGGAUUAGCUAGUAGGUGGGGUAACGGCUCACCUAGGCGACGAUCCCUAGCUGGUCUGAGAGGAUGACCAGCCACACUGGAACUGAGACACGGUCCAGACUCCUACGGGAGGCAGCAGUGGGGAAUAUUGCACAAUGGGCGCAAGCCUGAUGCAGCCAUGCCGCGUGUAUGAAGAAGGCCUUCGGGUUGUAAAGUACUUUCAGCGGGGAGGAAGGGAGUAAAGUUAAUACCUUUGCUCAUUGACGUUACCCGCAGAAGAAGCACCGGCUAACUCCGUGCCAGCAGCCGCGGUAAUACGGAGGGUGCAAGCGUUAAUCGGAAUUACUGGGCGUAAAGCGCACGCAGGCGGUCUGUUAAGUCAGAUGUGAAAUCCCCGG
rnacentral:rRNA from 1 species